rnacentral:rRNA from 1 species
UACGAAGGGGGCAAGCGUUGUUCGGAAUUACUGGGCGUAAAGGGCGCGUAGGCGGCUUAUCAAGUCAGGCGUGAAAUUCCCGGGCUCAACCUGGGGGCUGCGCUUGAUACUGAUUGGCUUGAAUGCGGGAGAGGAACGCGGAAUUCCAGGUGUAGCGGUGAAAUGCGUAGAUAUCGGGAAGAACACCCGUGGCGAAGGCGGUUCUCUGGGCAUGUCCUGACGCUGAGGAGCGAAAGUGUGGGGAGCGAACAGG